rnacentral:rRNA from 1 species
GAUGAACGCUGGCGGCGUGCCUAAUACAUGCAAGUCGAGCGAACAGAUUAGGACCUUGCUCCUCUGACGUUAGCGGCGGACGGGUGAGUAACACGUGGAUAACCUACCUAUAAUACGGGUAUAACUUCGGGAAACCGGAGCUAAUACGGUAUAAUAUAUUGAUCCGCGUGGUUCAAUAGUGAAAGUCGGUUUUGCUGUCACUUAUAGAUGGAUCCGCGCCGCAUUAGCUAGUUGGUAAGGUAACGGGUUACCAAGGCAGCGAUGCGUAGACGACGUGAGAGAGGGAUCGGCCACACUGGAACUUAGACACGGUCAAGAGGCCUACGGGAGGCAGCAGUAGGGAAUGUGACGCAAUAGGGGAAAGCAUGACGGAAUGACGCCGAGUCAGUGAUGAAGGUCUUCGGAUCGUAAAAAUCUGUUAUUAGGGAAGAACAAAUGUGUAAGUAACUAUGCACGUAUUGACGGUACCUAAUCAGAAAGCCACGGCUAACUACGUG